ensembl:lncRNA
AUCUUCUUUAUGCACCAAAAGCUGGUAACACUCCAAAGAGAAAGGAAAAAUUUAAAUCGCAUCAUGACCCCUUUAAGCUCACACAGUCUAUCAGACAAGCAGAAAGAAAGAAUGAUCUGUCAUAAAAUGAAUAACUUUGCCCAGUCCUUGAAUGUUAGCCAAUGUAAAUAAAACAGUUAUGAUUGACAAGCAUUACAAAGUAGCAACGAUGAGCAACACAUUCCAAAGUGUCUUCUUCACUCACUUAUAUUUUUAUUAUUUAAAAGCAAACCGAACGUCCUGUUGACUGUCAAGCCUGGAAGCAUUUUGGCAACAGCCUUCAUCAGGAGGCAGGACAGACACACGAUGGGUUAAAAGAAAAAGAUCUGGAGGAGCACAGCGAAAACAUCACUAGCAGAGGUCUGACAAACACUAAAUCUGUAGGAUGCCUCCUGCUGUUCUUCUCAUCGGCUGUCUACUCGCCACAAUCAGCUGUUUAACCACAGUACUCACUAUUCUCGAGAUGAAGGUGAAGACGCUGAAUGAAGAAGAGCGUCAGGCUGAACUGCUUGAGGUUGGCAAAGUGCUGGAGAGUUUCUUAAGAGCGAAUUAUACUGGCAACUUCUCUGUUAAAGUCACGAAAAUUAAAAAGUUAUCACCAUAGGACUGAGUCGGAAAUCUUUUUUUUUAUUUUUUUUACUUUAAAAAAAGUUUUCUAAAAAACUUUUACUGUUUUAGAUUAUACAUGUUGGCGGUUCAACAAAAUGCAUGUGUCUGUGUAUGUGUGAAACAAAUUAUGAAAUGAAUGUGUAAGGAAAGCC